rnacentral:lncRNA from 1 species
UAGGGGUGAAAAUGUUUUCCUUCAUAGCAAACACACCCUAAAACAUGCUUAAUGCACUUUAAGCAAUGUCAAUACUAGUACAUGAUUUGCUUAUCUUAGACUAUUAUUUAUUAUCCAAUAUAAAAUUAAACAAAUAAAAAAAAUAUAAUUAGAAUUAACAAAAGAAAUGUACAUUUAAAAUAGAUAUUUUUGGAGGGCCAAAGAC